UACGGAGGAUGCAAGCGUUUAUCCGGAAUGAUUGGGCGUAAAGCGUCCGCAGGUGGCUGUGUAAGUCUGCUGUCAAAGAGCGAAGCUCAACUUCGUAAAGGCAGUGGAAACUACACGGCUAGAGUGCGUUCGGGGCAGAGGGAAUUCCUGGUGUAGCGGUGAAAUGCGUAGAGAUCAGGAAGAACACCGGUGGCGAGGGCGCUCUGCCUAGGCCGCAAACUGACACUGAGGGACGAAAGCUAGGGGAGCGAAUGGG
rnacentral:rRNA from 1 species